rnacentral:tRNA from 1 species
GGGGCGGUAGCUCAACCGGGAGAGCGCAAGCUUUGCAAGCUUGAGGUCGCCGGUUCGAUCCCGGUCCGCUCCA